GUGAAGUCUUGCUUUAAAGAUUCAAGAUCAACGUCUCAAGCUCUUCAUCAUCCACUCCCUUCAUGGGUUAAAUUGCGCGCUUGCUUUCGAGCGCAUCACUCACCCAAAAAGAAAAGCUGAGAGAAAGAGUCCUUCUAUCAAGUGCUUCACGCCUUCAUGUACAGAUAUCAUAUAUGCUGAUAUAAAAACACUGAGAGAUCCUGAUAUAGAAAUAGAUACUUCUAAUUUGAAAAUUGAUAUUCCACAAAGUAAAUGAAAGUCUCUCUAUUAAAAGAAAGGGUGAAUAGUGACGACUAGCUCAAUUAAUCAGAGGAGGAGGGAAAGAAAAGGCUAUAUAUACUAGUGGAUAAUGCAUGCAACUGCAGUGCAGACCAAGGAAAGGGAUUAGGUGUGAAUCACCGUGAAUCACAGAAUUAAGGGAUCCCAAUGGCCGUUGUUUACUUUUCUUUUCUUUUUAAUGGAGACGAGGAAGUCAUUACUCAGACUCAGACUGAGAUGAGUCGGCCGGACUAAUAGAGGCAGACAAAAAGUUAGGAAAGUGAUGUGACUCAUCUCCUCUCUCUCUCUCUCUCUCUCUCUCUCUCUCUCUCGAUCCUCUCUGUUUUCCAAAUAUUCCAGUAGUGCCACUUCCAACCCUACAUGAAGGCAAAGAUUCCAACUGUCUACUACUCUAAGCUCUAAAACCCAUGUCACCACAGUGCAUACUUUGCUUCCAAAUCAAGAAGCUUUUCAAUUAGGGUUCUCUCUUUUCAGUGCCCAAUGAGUUUUAGCACCACAGAACGAGGAGCCAGCCCUGAUGCAUAUAGGGUUGAUGGCUACUAGAGCCCUAACUCUUUUUCAGGAUCCAAAAUGCCUUGUAAUGGUGAUUAAUGAACCAAAUAUUAGCCCUGAUUAUCAAGUCCAAGCCCAAUGAUUUUGUUUUUGUAGAUGAAGAAAGCUCAAUUAAUUGGAUUCAC